AAUCAGACUACCAAACUAAUAGUGUAUAUUGAUGCAAUUAUAUCAUAAUACUCUACCGGCUAACUGAAUACCAUCUGAACUAUUCAUAACAAAGAAGAAUAAAGACUCAAGGGUAUUUUCAAUUAUUUUAAUUCUGAGGUCGACGAACGAGCGGUGGGGGUCAUGGCGUGAUAAAGACAACAUCAAUGUGCAGUAAUUGAGUCUUUUUUAAAGAGUUCAUGAAAUAAAAAGACUUCAUUUCAUUCACUCGGCUUCAUUUCUCAUCUACUUUAUUUCAUCUGAUCUUUAAAGUUGUCACAAAAUUUGUUCAAAAUCGCAUUUAGGCAAGAAAACGACUGAAUUCUUACUCUACUUCUGUCUACUCGAAGAACUCUGAAAGGCAGGGGGUCUUCAGAGUUGUUUGUGUGGCUCAAAGUCGACCUCACCUGUAGGUAACAACUGCAGAUUGACACUAGAUGGCCUGGAGAGUUCGCGAGUGAAAAGCGAGCGAAACAACUAUGAAGAGAGAUAAGGUGAUUUUCGCCAUUCUCUUCGUUGCCAUAGUGACGGCUAUUUGGACAGCAGUUGCAGGUGAGUCUUACAUCAUUUAGUAUCCCAGUGGAAAAGUGUUCAGAACUCAGACAUUCAGAAAUUCAUGUCUCCGAAAUAGUCUAUAUUAAAAGAGUUCACCCUCGGUUUCAUUCGUCUCGGUGAGCACAGAAAUUUAAUUUUUUUAAAGGCCGCCGAGCCGAAUCCUAUCCACCCCCUCCCCCC